AUCUGUCACCUACUGGCCACGCUACAAGGCCAGCAGAUGUAGUGUGGCAGUUGUCAAGAGAGAGGAGCCGGAUGAAGCGUGGCAUGUCCAUGCCAUUACAUGGGUGGCUGACUACAGUACAUAUGAGCGAGCAAGACAAAAGCUUGUGAAGUUUUCCAAGGGAAAGGGUUUAAGGACGACUGAUGAAGAGAGUGUGAGAAUAAGACGACCAGCUUCACGUCUUAGCCUGGAGCCUGCAGCCACAUCAGAGGUCCAAGAAAACAAACACACUCUGACAAAGUAAGAAAGCACAUCACUACCAUAUG